UUGGGUUGGCGUAUCAACCGCGUGGCGGUGGCAGGCAGGAGAGGUUUGGAGGGUCAAGCGUUGGAGGCAGCCGCGCGCGCGGCCACUGUGGCGGGAAGGACUGGUGUAGAUAGAAGGAAGGUAGCGGCCACCGCCGUCGAGGCUAGCGUAGCGUACUGGUCCUCGGUGUGGGGCUUUAGGGAGCGGCAGGACGAGGCACGGUCCUACGUGGGGCUGAGAUAGGGGAGCGGCGGCGGGCGAGGCAGUGGGCGGCGGUCGGGGCUCGGGCCGGGGUCACGGGCCUGUCGGCGGCGGAGGAGGCAGGCGGUGACCGAGGUGCGGAGUUAGCGGCGCCGGAGGGGCGGAGGGCGGCGGGAGCUCACGAAGAGGCUGCCCAUGGCGAGGGAGCUGGCUCCGCCGGCGGUGCUCUAGGAGGCUAGGGAGCGGUGUCUGAUGCUGCACGGGGCGCGCGCCCAAGCGCUGGAGUACGCGGUCAUGCACUCGCAGAGGCGGUGGCCCCUCCCACCCCUGGUCGUCGGCCCCCGCCUCUCUCUCCUCCCGCCGCGGCGUAGCCGAAACAUGGCAUACCUCUCCCCCGAGGCCCUGCGGGAGGCCGGGUUCAUGCGGCCCAAGGAGCUCCGGUACUUGCGCGUCGGACCGCCCGAGUUCGAGGAGCGCCAGUAGGCUCGGCUGGAGGAGCGGAACGACCCCCUCCUCUUACGAGGUCACGACGCACGUAACCUACCCAUGAACUUCCUCUUCGAGCACUGCACCGAGUCGGGUCGCCGUGACCGUGAGGUGGUCUAUUGGACCCUACUAGGACGGAGGAACGAGCUCUUCUAACACCGAAUACUUCGACACGUAGGUUAGUCCUUAGACUAUCUGAACUUCUCUUCCGACCCACACCCGGCUGCAACAAAACCAAUGAAGGUAGGACGCUAUGGUCCCCUCGGGGACUAAAAGUAGCUUCAACGAGAGGAGUUUCUAUACCGGUGUAGAUAUGUCCUUCAAAACAACCUACAGGGAGGUUAGCGACUUACACUUCGAUUUACACGUGACAAAAUGAGUUAUAGCAGUUGGGUCGGUCCGAAUAGUCCAUAAUUAGACCCUUUCAAAGAAGAGUUCGCACAGUAACUGUACAACUCUUUUCUAUACGGAAGGCACGUCUAAAAACGAUGAGAAUCGGGCUAUGGACCAAAGUACGUUACCGAAGAGCGAUUCAACCGGAGAGUUUAUUUUAAUCGUCUCUGUCUCUACGUUCUCCCGUUAAGCUAUCUUCCACGGUCAAGAUGAAAGUCUCUUAGGUAGGAAAAGGGCCUCCUUCUCUUCUACUAUGUGUCACGGUAGCUAGUUCAGUUGCCAUUUGUUCCUUAACUUGAAAACGUUCUAUAUGACUUUAGUUCAGUUACCCGUUUCAGACUUUUUAAUAGACGACGCGACUUUAGAGGAGAAUACGCAAACACACAUUCCAUAGAAUGGUCUCUCUUUUAUGCUCCUUUUCGAGAUCUACGACAACGAUUAAAAGUGAACGUUUUACCUCGUUACCAACUCUCUUAUUUGACCUACCGGCUGGUUAGGCUCUUCCCGUAACUUGUUUCACCUCCAUAGUACCAGUUAAUAGACAUGUCCAACCUCUUAUAUCUUCUUAUACGUAGCAGAAUAAGCCGAUGUCCCUAAUAGGUAUGCAGUAGAUCGGAAAGGAUUGUACAACUCGGUGUAUAUAUACUUUACCUCUACGUCAACGAAGUAGUGUAGUUGUGUAGCAUAGACACACACUAUGUGAGUUGUUUCUACUAAAUGAUGCUUUCCCAGACUGUGGAGAAGACGCCAAAUUAGGUCCCGUGUACAAAUCAAACCAUCACCGACAAGGAAGGCAUAUGAUGGAAGAUUUUCGGAUCUCCUCUAUACUUGACUUCUGAGCCGAUCGAGAAAUAGGGAAGGUGAAACCCUUGGCAUCGUCUUUUAUGUACAUAAAUAUAGAACGUGUACUUGUACGUUUCCUUGUGUAUGACGUUUAAUGACAUUCUAGUAAAAAAAGAGAUGUUACAUAUUGUAUAUAGUGUAGAAAAAGAUAUGUUACAUAUUGUAUAUAGUGUAGACAAUUAAACACUUCCCAGUGUCACCACGUGGGACGCCGGUCUCAAGUUUAGGGCAGCCCUCGCUUAAAACGCUUAAAGACCAAGGAGUGGGCCCACCCGAAGAAGAUAUUUUUAUACAGGACCCACGAUCACGGGUACCUAGAGUAAAAUUAAACACCUCGUUUUAGACUAUCCGGCGUCCCAUCGCCAACUGUAACAACGGAACAUUGUCGCGUUCGGCAAAAGAAAAACUUUAACGAUUUUGAUUCGACCUUACGCUGUUCUAAACACGACACGACAACCCGCCGG
rnacentral:rRNA from 1 species